rnacentral:rRNA from 1 species
AUUGAACGCUGGCGGCAGGCCUAACACAUGCAAGUCGAACGGUAACAGGAGGCAGCUUGCUGCUUUGCUGACGAGUGGCGGACGGGUGAGUAAUGUCUGGGAAACUGCCUGAUGGAGGGGGAUAACUACUGGAAACGGUAGCUAAUACCGCAUAACGUCGCAAGACCAAAGAGGGGGACCUUCGGGCCUCUUGCCAUCUGAUGUGCCCAGAUGGGAUUAGCUAGUAGGUGGGGUAACGGCUCACCUAGGCGACGAUCCCUAGCUGGUCUGAGAGGAUGACCAGCCACACUGGAACUGAGACACGGUCCAGACUCCUACGGGAGGCAGCAGUGGGGAAUAUUGCACAAUGGGCGCAAGCCUGAUGCAGCCAUGCCGCGUGUAUGAAGAAGGCCUUCGGGUUGUAAAGUACUUUCAGCGGGGAGGAAGGGAGUAAAGUUAAUACCUUUGCUCAUUGACGUUACCCGCAGAAGAAGCACCGGCUAACUCCGUG